AAGAAAGAAAGAAAAAAAAAAGCAGAUGUCCAACGAAAAAAAAAAAAUAGAAGCGGAUCUCGAGUUGUUUGCUUGUCAUAAACACAUCGUGUAUAUCUU
rnacentral:ribozyme from 1 species